UCGCCCGCCCGCGCCCCGCGCCCGGCCCGCCGCCCCCGCCCCCCUACGGGAGGCAGCAGUGGGGAAUAUUGCACAAUGGGCGAAAGCCUGAUGCAGCGACGCCGCGUGAGGGAUGACGGCCUUCGGGUUGUAAACCUCUUUCAGCAGGGAAGAAGCGAAAGUGACGGUACCUGCAGAAGAAGCGCCGGCCAAAUACGUGCCAGCAGCCGCGGUAAUACGUAGGGUGCGAGCGUUGUCCGGAAUUAUUGGGCGUAAAGGGCUUGUAGGCGGUUUGUUGCGUUGGGUGUGAAAACCCGGGGCUUAACCCCGGGUUUGCAGUCGAUACGGGCAGGCUAGAGUUCGGUAGGGGAGAUCGGAAUUCCUGGUGUAGCGGUGAAAUGCGCAGAUAUCAGGAGGAACCCCCGUGGCGAAGGCGGGUCUUUGGGCCGAUACUGACGCUGAGGAGCGAAAGCGUGGGGAGCGAACAGGAUUAGAUACCCUGGUAGUUCACGCCGUAAACGGUGGGCCCCAGGUGUGGGCGGCAUUCCACUCCCCCCCCCGGCCCCUCGCGCAGUCCGCCGCCACUCUCGACGUAUGUAUCGG
rnacentral:rRNA from 1 species